CGGCGCACUACCACCUACGACCGCCUGCUAGGCGAUUCAACAAAAGUUCGCUGAGAGGUAGUACGGCGGACAAAGCGAGCUCAGUGUGGCGCGCUCAACCUGAAUACAUGGCAGGCGAUUCGAAGAGGUAGCGCAGUGCUGAGUGCUGUAGUCACGCCCUCCCCCCACUACUAGACUCACUACUCGGAGACUACCGCUAGCGGACGUUUUUCGGUGUGGCGUGCUCAGCCGAGAAAACUACCACCAGCG